rnacentral:tRNA from 1 species
GGAAUAUAGCUCAGUUGGUAGAGUGCUUGCCUUGCAUGCAAAAAGCACUAGGUUCAAUCCCCAGCACCA